rnacentral:rRNA from 1 species
UACGGAGGGGGCUAGCGUUGUUCGGAAUUACUGGGCGUAAAGCGCGCGUAGGCGGCUCGCCAAGUCGGACGUGAAAGGCCCGGGCUUAACCUGGGACCGGCGUUCGAGACUGGCGGGCUAGGGUCCGGAAGAGGGCAGUGGAAUUCCCAGUGUAGAGGUGAAAUUCGUAGAGAUUGGGAAGAACACCGGUGGCGAAGGCGGCUGCCUGGUCCGUGUCCGACGCUGAGGCGCGAAAGCGUGGGGAGCAAAC